CUACCGUGCCCUGCGGAAUAGCUCCGGGAAACUGGAAUUAAUACCGCAUACGCCCUACGGGGGAAAGAUUUAUCGGGGUAUGAUGAGCCCGCGUUGGAUUAGCUAGUUGGUGGGGUAAAGGCCUACCAAGGCGACGAUCCAUAGCUGGUCUGAGAGGAUGAUCAGCCACAUUGGGACUGAGACACGGCCCAAACUCCUACGGGAGGCAGCAGUGGGGAAUAUUGGACAAUGGACGCAAGCCUGAUCCAGCCAUGCCGCGUGAGUGAUGAAGGCCUUAGGGUUGUAAAGCUCUUUCACCGGAGAAGAUAAUGACGGUAUCCGGAGAAGAAGCCCCGGCUAACUUCGUGCCAGCAGCCGCGGUAAUACGAAGGGGGCUAGCGUUGUUCGGAAUUACUGGGCGUAAAGCGCACGUAGGCGGAUAUUUAAGUCAGGGGUGAAAUCCCAGAGCUCAACUCUGGAACUGCCUUUGAUACUGGGUAUCUUGAGUAUGGAAGAGGUAAGUGGAAUUGCGAGU
rnacentral:rRNA from 1 species